rnacentral:rRNA from 1 species
UACAGAGGGGCAAGCGUUAUUCGGAAUUAUUGGGCGUAAAGGGCGCGUAGGUCGGCCUGGCAAGUGGAAGGUGAAAUCCCUCGGCUUAACCGAAGGAACUGCCUCCCCAAACUGCUUGGCUUUGAAGACCAGGAGAGGUGAGGUGGAAUUCCCAGUGUAGCGGUGAAAAUGCGUAGAUAUUGGGAAGGAACACCAGUGGCGAAGGCGGCUCACUGGACCUGGUACUGACGCUGAGGCGCGAAAAGCGUGGGGAGCAAACGGGG